AUUGAACGCUGGCGGCAUGCCUUACACAUGCAAGUCGAACGGCAGCGGACCUUCGGGUGCCGGCAAGUGGCGAACGGGUGAGUAAUAUAUCGGAACGUACCUUUCAGUGGGGGAGUAACGUAGCGAAAGUUACGCUAAUACCGCAUAUUCUGUGAGCAGGAAAGCAGGGGAGUCGCAAGACCUUGCGCUGAUUGAGCGGCCGAUAUCAGAUUAGCUAGUUGGUGAGGUAAAGGACUCACCAAGGCGACGAUCUGUAGCGGGUCGUGAGAGGAUGAUCAGCCACACUGGAACUGAGACACGGUCCAGACUCCUACGGGAGGCAGCAGU
rnacentral:rRNA from 1 species